UAAUCAAAUAUGUAGUUUGCAUGGGCACUACACCUUUUCUCAAUAAUAAUAUGGCAGUUCUAUUUACAAUGCUUGACUAGAUUUUGUAAUAAUGCUUUUACUGAAAUUUACCUUUUGUUUUCCCGCUGCAGUCUUGGCUGCCCAUAAGACAUGUGCACUCUUAGAGCAAAGAUAAUGAUUGCAAGCAACUUUUCUUGAGAGAAGGGGAGAGAGAGAGUGAAAUCAGGGCUCCUGUCAAAUAUUCCUGCUUCUCAGACUUUCCCAGUGACUACUAAAUGCUACAGUGACUUCCAGUGACUACUGCAUGCUGAAAUAUGGGACAAAACCCACAAAUUCAAGGUCCCCAGAAAUAAGAAAAGGAGGGAACAGAAGAAUUACAUAGGAAGGUUAGGAGGAAUUGCUUGGAGAUGACUGCCCCACCUUAUGAGUUGGGGGCUCUUCAUUGAAAAGGCAGUGAUCCCAUUGAGCAAAUAAGAUAAACCACAUCAUUGUAUAAGAAGAGGAAAAAAACAAUCAUUCAACAGCAGCAAAACCUACCAAAUGUUUUCACACGGAUUAGUUUCUAAGACUGGGACAAAUCUUUCUGGGGGAAGAAGAGGAGGAGUAAGCAAACACAACUCUCAUUUGGAACAAGAAUUAAGAAGAUGA
rnacentral:lncRNA from 1 species